CACAGGAAUGUUGACGUUUUCCGGUAUAGAUGUUACACAAGAAGUUUAUGCCUGGAUAAUUGUUCUGGUUUUGCCCGUGAACUCUGCACUCAACCCAAUAUUUUACACGUUAUCAGCUAUCAUACGGGAAAGAGGCCAAAUUAUAAAGGUUAAAGAGAACCAUUUGCGUAAGGAAAAGGAGUUACGCACCUUGUCUUCGCAAGAAAAUGCUCAUCUGAAACAUCGGUUGUUGACUUUAACGGUGAGUGAAAGCAAUUUACAGAGAGAAAAGGAGCUAUUUGUACAGGAAAUAAAUAGACUAAAAAGUCGAUUAAAUUCU